GCAGUUUGCAGCUGGUUUGAUUCAUGUCGUGGGUCACUUACCAAUGUAUGUAGGCCUAAUUGGCUAUGACCUUUGAAAUAGUUGAAAGUAAAUCCCAGUAGUAUCUAGUGAAACACACAUGCAAACGCCCUUCUGUCCCUCAUUCCCUCAAACUCGAUCUUCUACAUUUGUUGUGUAAAAAGGACAUAGCAAGUUUUUUAUAUCAAUGAUCACUUUAGGAUAUUCCAGUGCAUUUACAUUCAAUAUAUACUGUACCUUGAGUGAGGUAGAAAUGCAUAUUGUUGCAAAUAUAAAUACUGUUAAUUUGUUAUUUUUUGUAAUUAAUCAUUUACUGAAUUUCUUUGUAGAAUAUGUUACUAUUAUUUGGGUUUUUGUUCUCUGCAUAACUGUCUCUUUCACCUAUAUUAAUUCCUCAGCAUUCAAGAUGUUUGUAGGGUCCUCACCUCAGCUACCUCUCACAAGGUGCCCCUGAAAAAGAAAUUCAAGACGUUUGGGUCCUCAGCUCAACUGACCAAGACCUUUGCUCAUUGAAGGCAUGAAGUAAUUUGUGAUGCCCCCACGAUUGCAGUUUUUAAAUCCAGAUGGCUUGCUCUUUUUAACAUGUGCGAGAGCUGGAUGGUCUUUCAACAACACUGCUCCGGGUCUUCAGCAAGAAAGGUGCUUCUCAUGCAAGGAAGAUACAGAGGAUCCUGGUGCCCAUGACUCAGAAAUUCAAGACGUUUGGGUCCUCAGCUCAACUGACCAAGACCUUUGCUCAUUGAAGGCAUGAAGUAAUUUGUGAUGCCCCCACGAUUGCAGUUUUUAAAUCCAGAUGGCUUGCUCUUUUUAACAUGUGCGAGAGCUGGAUGGUCUUUCAACAACACUGCUCCGGGUCUUCAGCAAGAAAGGUGCUUCUCAUGCAAGGAAGAUACAGAGGAUCCUGGUGCCCAUGACUCAGACUGACAACAUUGAUGUGAAGAGGGAGUGCAUGCUGAGGAGCUGACGGUCUACCUGAAUGAAGAGCCAGACAAAGUGGAUGUUGAUCUGGACGGUCCAGCUGAAACGUAUUGUCUUCGUGUGCGUGUGAUCGGCAGAGAGUCCUCAACGACAUUGGUAACGUACCUGUGGCCAUUGCAGUGUU